UAUGCAUUUUUAUUAACAUGCAAGAACUCUUUAACAUUAAAUUUCUUCUGUGAAAUAUGUUUGUUACAUUUGACUUUUGAGCUUC